rnacentral:misc_RNA from 1 species
AAAUAAAUAUAGAAUUUCAUAUUCUUAAACCCCUGCAGCGUACUUGUUCAUGUUGCUUCCGUGGGCAGUAGGCCUUGUGCUUGCGACCGCCUUCAUGGCGGACCCGCGGGAGGUAAUCAUAAACUCCGUCUUCAUAUGGUAUCUGUCUGAGCUUGUUUAAUUCAUAAACGUUA